rnacentral:lncRNA from 1 species
AGCUUUCGCUUGCACCAAAAGGAGGCUGUACACUUGGCUCUGUCAGAGAACCCGUUCAAGUGUGAAACCGUGUGACGGGUGCGCUCAACACUCCGUGCGUAAUUUUUACCUGGGCUGGUCGGCGGGGACACUUUAGAAGAAAUGUAGCGCACUUUAACUAACUGACCCAAGGGACAGGACAGGGACCGGGAGCUGCACCGGGAUAUCCCCCCGGGAAUUCGCACUUUCAGUAUGUCAGAUGCAAGCAGUUUUACUCCAAUAUCGCAGGAAAUAUGAAGGGGGCACUUUUGAAGAGUAACAUCAUUCUUUUUAGAAGGGGUGGUUUAACACAAGAAAAACAUACUACAUGGACGUGUACUUUCCUUUUUUAAUUUUUUUUAAAAAGCCUACUGCUACUUCUUUGGAGCAUAUUUACACAAUGGAUUUAACGACUGUGCUUUGUGGACUGUGCUGUGGUUAAAACCGAAAUGUUGUAGGGUGUGCAAUAUUAUGGACUGUUUAACUUGAGUGGCUCAAUAUUUCAACAACAAUUGCGCGAUUAGUUCUGCUCUUCGUCCUAUCACUGCGCACGAGCUUUUCAGAUUGCGCUGACAUGAGACAUAUAGUGAGUGUUUGGAGUAGAUACUUCCAUUCCUCGUGAUUCGUCUUCUGGUGCCAGCGAAUGGGAAAGACCUAGAAAGUGUAUUUUAACACAAACCACAAUUAUGCAUGUUUAGAAUAAAUGUGUGACUGAAUUCUAACAAAGAACUGUGUUAGAAGUUGCUAUCCACUUUUUUUCGAUGGACAGUAACAUGUGACGAGGAAAUAACUUUAUCAAUCUUUUACAUGCUUCACGGUGAACAGAUACAGUCCGUGAGACAUUUCUCGGAGGCCCACUCUGCCUUUGAAAAGCGCUACUCUGCUUACCGCAGUCAGAGGCACAACAACAACAACAACAGUGACGUGACAACAAACGGAGGACACAAAGUUCCCACCUCUCUCUGCAUCUUCACUCAUAUCCCUGUGACAGGCCCCCUAACCUGACAGAUGUGGGGCAGAUUGGGUCGCCUACCUGUCACAUCCAGUCUCUCUGGCUUCAAAGUGAAGUCAUGUGCAAAGUGAGCAGCGUGCGCAGGGAGACGGCCGACCACCCACGGGAGUCUGACCUGCUCCUCUGCUCAGGCCACAUGGUUGGUCACACACAGCC